rnacentral:rRNA from 1 species
UUGGAGGGCAAGUCUGGUGCCAGCAGCCGCGGUAAUUCCAGCUCCAAUAGCGUAUAUUAAAGUUGUUGCAGUUAAAAAGCUCGUAGUUGAAUUUCGGGGUUCUACCGUUGGUCGGGCUAACCAGUCUGUACUAGCGUGUAGAAUUCCUACCUUCUGGGGAACCAUCAUGUUAUUAAUUUAGCGUGGUGGGAAACCAGGACCUUUACCUUGAAAAAAUUAGUGUGUUCAAAGCAGGCUUACGUCUGAAUACAUUAGCAUGGAAUAAUAAAAUAGGACGGUGGUCCUGUUUUG